AGGUAGGAGACAACAGGGCCCAGUACAUGGAUAAGAGAAUGGUGAAACUGGGAUUUGAAAAUCAGGCCCUCAGAAUCAUAGAAUUGAUAAAGAUAAAGAGAUCCCUAUGUGCUCUGUAUCAUGGAUUCCAGUUUGAAAUCAAACUCACCUAACUAAAAAUAAAUAAAUCAGGUAAACAAAAUCAACAGAGGUAACUGAAGCAUAGAGUUAAAGAAGGACUCUAAUAUCCAGAUGGAGAGGCUGGUAAUAAACGCGAAUCUUCUCGUUCUUAGGAAGGAAAACUUCAGAGGGUAGACGACUGCUAAAUAGCGGUCCAGGGCAAUGCAAGUGAGGAACGCCGUGCUGCUGUAAAAGUUCAUAAAGGAUACGCAUAAAGAUCCGAUGUUGGCUGGGACGCUGACUAUAAACACAAUUAUGUAGACCACCGGGAACAAAUAGUGUUCGAGGUGGCGCUGCUCUUCAAUGCACAUGCUGUUCAUCGCCAUGGUCUUCACAGUGGCAGUUACAUCACUUCUUAGGCUGUCAGCAGGGAAAGGGACCUUGCCUUACUAUUACUGCUAGAAGUUGGGAUCCAAGCUCCUGGGAGUGACUUAAAGCAGUUAAUGAGAUUUAAGCAUCAGAAGUCUUCAUGUUCAAUAGCAUGGGAUUUUAGCUUUCGUGAACGGUCACCGCCUCUUGCUUGCCCUUUUGAAUCUUACAGGAGAUUGG
rnacentral:lncRNA from 1 species